UAUAUAUAGCUUUUAUACUAUCGAAAGCACAGAGAAUCUAGCAUUUCUAAUUUUUUUACCUGUAGAUCAGUUUCUUUCAUUAUUUUUAAAUUUUGAAUUAAUAUUAUUAUCCUGUGGGGACUACUCAGUUUUAAAAAUACUACUCAAUCCUAGAGAGGACCGUAAUUAUUUCAACCGUAUAAUUUUCAAUCCAAAGGUCUAAAAAUCGAAAGCAUCAAAUGCUCUAUACUUUUGAUAGUAUAGUAUAUAUACACACACGCGUACCAUACCACAUGACAUGAUGCACUAUAGGAGCUGGAAAAAGGAAUGGGAAAAGAUAAUUUUAAAUCCAGAAAUUGUAUAUUCAAAUUGUAUAACACUUUGAAAAUGAUUGAACCUAUGAUUUUAUAGAAUGAAAGAGUUUAAAAUUAGUUCUGAUAUCACAUUAAAUUAUAUUAUAAAAAAUAAUUAUUAUUUUUAAAAAAUUAAAGUCGGUAAAAAAAAUAAUAUUUUUAAUAUUUAUAUUCAACAAC
rnacentral:lncRNA from 1 species